GCUUUAUGGAUAGCUCAUUGGGCAGAGCAAUGAGGCUCUUAAUCUCAGGGUUGUGGGUUCAAGCCCUAUGUUGGGCA